CUCCAGUCUCGCUCGCUCUCAGGUGUGGCGCUCGGCUUGCAUUGCGUGCGUUGAGUGCAUUGCGUGUUCUGAAGUCCCUAUGUGCUAAAUAAAAACGUUUACGAGUGCUAAUUGACCUUUAUGCCAUACUGAUCCACGCAAACACCAGGAUUGGAAAAGUUUUUGACGAGAGAAAAGUGAUCUGAACAUUAAGAACACUGCAACGUUUUUUUGGGCGAGGAGAGCAUGGCGGGCGUGGCGUGGGCUUAUGGGCGUGAUCCUGCAGUGCUCUAUAACUUAUCCAUAGCCUUAAACGACCCGCCCACGCACACGCACGCACGCACGCACGCUAAAAUCCCAACACAGCAUAAAACAGUAAUUAAAGUGAGGAAG